rnacentral:rRNA from 1 species
GAGAGAGAGACAUGCGCGCAUAUCAAUAAGCGGAGGAAAAGAAACUAACUAGGAUUCCCUUAGUAACGGCGAGUGAAGCGGGAAGAGCUCAAAUUUGAAAUCUUCAAGGUUCUACCUUGACGAAUUGUAGUUUAAAGAAGUGUUUUCUGUUGGAGUUUUGGUAAAAGUUCUCUGGAAUAGGACAUCAUAGAGGGUGAGAAUCCCGUAUUUGACCAUUAUUUCCAGCUUUGUGAUGCACUUUCAAAGAGUCGGAUUGUUUGGGAAUGCAGUCCAAAAUGGGUGGUAAAUUUCAUCUAAAGCUAAAUAUUGGCGAGAGACCGAUAGCGAACAAGUACCGUGAGGGAAAGAUGAAAAGAACUUUGAAAAGAGAGUUAAACAGUACGUGAAAUUGUCAAAAGGGAAGCGUUUGACACCAGUGUUGUUUUUCCGAAAAUCAAUUAAAAAUGGAUUCAUGCUAGGUAGUAUUGACUUCAUCGGCUUGCUGCUUAGUUUUGGGUUCUUUUUCGAUGCCCUUUUCGGUUAACAAGUCAACAUCAAUUUCUUUUGUUGUAAAAGGGUCAUUGGAAGGUGGCUUUCUUUUCGGAGAAAGUGUUUAUAGCCUUUGAUCUCUGCAACCGGAGAGACUGAGGUCUGCAGCGUAGACUCUUCGGGGUUAGAUACAUUUGUGCUAAGCUAUAGCUUUUUAUAGACAACUUGUUGACUAUAUUUAGUCUUGUGGCUUACUCGCUUAUGCUAUUUUACCUACGCUUAGGAUGUUGA